CGAUGAUACGCGAGGAACCUUACCAGGGCUUGACAUACGCUGGAAUGGCGGGAGACCGUCCAGCCUUUCGGGGCCGGCGUACAGGUGCUGCAUGGCUGUCGUCAGCUCGUGCUGUGAAGUGUGGUUAGUCCGCACGAGCGCAACCCUGCCAUCUGUUGCCAGCAAGUGAAGUUGGGGACUCAAGUGGAACUGCCGGUGACAAACCGGAGGAAGGUGGGGACGACGUCAAGUCAUCAUGGCCCUUAUGUCCUGGGCUACACACGUGCUACAAUGGCCGGUACAGAGCGCAGCGAAGCCGCGAGGCAAAGCGAAUCGCAAAAAGCCGGUCUCAGUACGGAUUGGAGUCUGAAACCCGACUCCAUGAAGUUGGAAUCGCUAGUAAUCGCGCAUCAGCCAUGGCGCGGUGAAUACGUUCCCGGGCCUU
rnacentral:rRNA from 1 species